rnacentral:rRNA from 1 species
UACGUAGGGGGCGAGCGUUGUCCGGAUUUACUGGGCGUAAAACGCUUGUAGGCGGCCACGCCAAGUCGGACGUGAAAUCUCCCGGCUUAACUGGGAGGGGUCGUUCGAUACUGGCGGGCUCGAGGCAGGUAGGGGGAAGCGGAAUUCCCGGUGUAGUGGUGGAAUGCGUAGAUAUCAGGAGGAACACCUGUGGUGUAGACGGCUUACUGGACUAUAACUGACGCUGAGGAACGAAAGCGUGGGUAGCAAACAGG